GACGUAGGGUGCAAGCGUUGUUCGGAAUUACUGGGCGUAAAGAGUGUGUAGGCGGUGCUCUAAGUUCGGUGUGAAAUCUCCUGGCUUAACUGGGAGGGUGCGCCGGAAACUGGAGUGCUCGAACGUGGGAGAGGAAAGCGGAAUUCCUGGUGUAGCGGUGAAAUGCGUAGAUAUCUGCAGGAACACCCGUGGCGAAGGCGGCUCGCUGGACCGCAACUGACGCUGAGGAACGAAAGCUAGGGGAGCAAACAGG
rnacentral:rRNA from 1 species